AGAAUCAACGCUGGCGGCGUGCCUAACACAUGCAAGUCGAACGAGAAAGUGGAGCAAUCCAUGAGUAAAGUGGCGCACGGGUGAGUAACACGUGACUAACCUACCCUUGAGUGGGGGAUAACCUAGGGAACCUGGGCUAAUACCGCAUAAUACCUUCGGGUCAAAGGAGCAAUUCGCUUUAGGAGGGGGUCGCGGCCGAUUAGUUAGUUGGCGGGGUAAUGGCCCACCAAGACUGUGAUCGGUAU
rnacentral:rRNA from 1 species